rnacentral:rRNA from 1 species
GACGAACGCUGGCGGCGUGCUUAACACAUGCAAGUCGAACGGAGUGGCGAACGGGUGAGUAACACGUGGGUGAUCUGCCUUGCACUUCGGGAUAAGCUAGGGAAACUGGGUCUAAUACCGGAUAGUGCAAGAUGAGCUCGCGGCCUAUCGGCUUGUUGGUGGGGUGAUGGCCGACGACGUCGUCGACGGGUAGACGGCCUGGGAGGGUGUACGGCCACAUUGGGACUGAGAUACGGCCCAGACUCCUACGGGAGGCAGCAGUGGGGAAUAUUGCACAAUGGGCGGAAGCCUGAUGCAGCGACGCCGCGUGGGGGAUGAAGGCUUUCGGGUUGUAAACGCCUUUCGACAGGGACGCGGUACCUGUAUAAGAAGCACCGGCUAACUACGUGCCAGCAGCCGCGGUAAUUC